UACGUAGGGUGCGAGCGUUGUCCGGAAUUACUGGGCGUAAAGAGCUCGUAGGUGGUUUGUCGCGUUGUCCGUGAAAACUCACAACUCAAUUGUGGGCGUGCGGGCGAUACGGGCAGACUGGAGUACUGCAGGGGAGACUGGAAUUCCUGGUGUAGCGGUGGAAUGCGCAGAUAUCAGGAGGAACACCGGUGGCGAAGGCGGGUCUCUGGGCGAAGCUGAACGUGACGUGGAGGAGCGAAAGCGUGGGGAGCGAACAGG
rnacentral:rRNA from 1 species